rfam:Oryza punctata chromosome 8, whole genome shotgun sequence.
UGUAAACGCAGCUCUGACUUUUCAUGUCUAACUUUAACCGUCCAUCUUAUUUAAAUUUUUUUAUGAUUAGGAUUUUGAUUUUUAUUGUUAUUAGAUGAUAAAACAUAAAUAGUACUAUAUGCGUGACUUAUGUUUUAUAAUUUUUCAAAAAAAAUUCAAAUAAAACAGACGAUUAAAGUUGGACAAAAAACUCAUGUUGCGCUUAAA